GGAAGAUCACCACCAGGCGUGGAGCUUGCGGCUUAAUUUGACUCAACACGGGGAAACUCACCAGGUCCAGACACGAUAAGGAUUGACAGAUUGAUAGCUCUUUCAUGAUCUUGUGGUUGGUGGUGCAUGGCCGUUCUUAGUUGGUGGAGUGAUUUGUCUGGUUAAUUCCGAUAACGAACGAGACCUUAACCUGCUAAAUAGACCCCCUGCCUUCUGGGGAGGGGCUGUCUUCUUAGAGGGACUAUCGGCUUUUAGCCGAUGGAAGUUUGAGGCAAUAACAGGUCUGUGAUGCCCUUAGACGUUCUGGGCCGCACGCGUGCUACACUGACCAAGCCAGCGAGUUCUUCCUUGGCCGGAAGGCCUGGGUAAUCUUGUGAAACUUGGUCGUGAUGGGGAUAGAGCAUUGCAAUUAUUGCUCUUCAACGAGGAAUGCCUAGUAAGCGCAAGUCAUCAGCUUGCGUUGAUUACGUCCCUGGUCUUUGUACACACCGCCCGUCGCUACUACCGAUUGAAUGGCUUAGUGAGGCCUUCGGACCGGCUUUUGGGGUUGGCAACGACAUCCGAUUGCUGGAAAGUUGAACGAACUUGGUCAUUUAGAGGAAGUAAAAGUCGUAACAAGGUUUCCGUAGGUGAACCUGCGGAAGGAUCAUUAGCGAAAUCCAAAUUGGUUGGUGUCCUGAUACCGAAAGGGUCAGGCCCUUCCAUCAUUUCAUACACCUUUGUCGAACUGUAGGGGAAUUGGCUAACACCUUUUUCCUGUCUUUUUCAUACUCUUAAAGUCUGAGAAUGAAGUCUUGGUUAAAACCAAAAUAUAAUUUUCAACAACGGAUCUCUUGGCUCUCGCAUCGAUGAAGAACGCAGCGAAAUGCGAUAAGUAAUGUGAAUUGCAGAAUUCAGUGAAUCAUCGAAUCUUUGAACGCAUCUUGCACCCUGGGGUAUUCCCUAGGGUAUGUCUGUCUGAGUGUUAUUUGAACUCUCAAAGUCUCUUUCCUUUGAUUAGGUCAGAGUAUUUUGGAUCUUGAGUGUUUGCAAAUUGCUCACUUUAAAUAGAAUGUGGCAUUCACCUCUGAAGCUGCUGUCAGGUUUGACUUGGAGUGAUAGAAGUCUUUCGAGAUCUCUAGGGAACUGUCGUCUGAUGGUACCUGUCGUGGUGGGAGGGAGUGUCUGACAGACUUAUCUGACGUUUUUGACCUCAGAUCAGGCAGGACUACCCGCUGAACUUAAGCAUAUCAAUAAGCGGAGGAAAAGAAACUAACAAGGAUUCCCCUAGUAACGGCGAGUGAAGCGGGAAGAGCUCAAAUUUGUAAUCUGGCCGGUCACCGGUCCGAGUUGUAAUCUGUAGAGCUGUCACUGUGCCAGUCCUCUCAUGAGUCCGUUGGAAUACGGCGUCAAAGAGGGUGAGAACCCCGUUCUUGGUGAGGUCUCUGGUGCUCUGUGUGAUGGUUUCGAAGAGUCGAGUUGUUUGGGAAUGCAGCUCAAAUUGGGAGGUAGAUUCCUUCUAAAGCUAAAUAUUGGCGAGAGACCGAUAGCAAACAAGUACCGUGAGGGAAAGAUGAAAAGCACUUUGGAAAGAGAGUUAACAGUACGUGAAAUUGUUGAAAAGGAAACGCUUGAAGUCAGACGUGCCCAACCGUGUUCAGCCUCUUGGUGUAUUCACGGUGGCAGGCUAACAUCGGUUUUGAGGGUCGGAUAAGGGUUUGGGGAAUGUGGCAGCUUCGGUUGUGUUAUAGCCCCUUGCUUGAUACGGCUCUUGAGACUGAGGACCGCGGCUCGCCUCGUGGCAGGGGAUUCGUCCUCUUCCGAGCCUAGGAUGUUGGUGUAAUGGCUUUAAACGACCCGUCUUGAAACACGGACCAAGGAGUCUAACAUGCUUGCGAGUGUUUGGGUGUCAAACCCCUGGCGCGAAAUGAAAGUGAAUGUAGGUGGGACCCGCAAGGUGCACCAUCGACCGACCUGGAGUCUCUGACGAAAGGUUUGAGUAAUAGCAAGUAUGUUGGGACCCGAAAGAUGGUGAACUAUGCCUGGAUAGGGUGAAGCCAGAGGAAACUCUGGUGGAGGCUCGUAGCGGUUCUGACGUGCAAAUCGAUCGUCAAAUCUGGGUAUAGGGGCGAAAGACUAAUCGAACCA
rnacentral:rRNA from 1 species